UACGUAGGUGGCGAGCGUUAUCCGGAUUUACUGGGCGUAAAGCGCUUGUAGGCGGCUUCGUAAGUUGGGCGUGAAAGCUCCGGGCUUAACCCGGAGAGGCCGUCCAAUACUGCGGAGCUCGAGGGUGCCAGAGGAAGGUGGAAUUCCUGGUGUAGCGGUGAAAUGCGUAGAGAUCGGCAGGAAGACCAAGGGGGAAGCCAGGGGGCUGGCCGCAUGCUGACGCUGAGGCGCGACAGCGUGGGGAGCAAACCGG
rnacentral:rRNA from 1 species